AUGCCAAUAGAGAUACGCAAACAAGGAAUUAUUAACUAAUAGGGAGCGGUCUAAAGCCGAUGUAAAUUGUACAGUUCAAUUAAUGUAUGAUGUUAAUGUCUGUAUUUUUUUUAGAUGAAAGUCAAUUAUCUUGUUAAGAAUGUGUUACCGGUGCUGUGAUGGACUCUCUACAUCUUUUUGUGUCAAAUGUUAGCAUUAUCACAGCACAAUGGGUUGCUGAAGGCUUGAGACUGAGUUGUGCUGCGAAAAACACUAAGGACCGAUACAUUACCCGGAAAUAGGACGAGCAUCUGGCGAUUUACAAUAUUGACUGAUUGAUUAUGUUUUCUAAAUGUAUUUCACAAUAGAGAAAAUGGUAGAGUAAGAGUGGAAGUAAAAUGAAUGAAGUGGGAAAAGGCAUAUGAUGUACAGAAAUGUUUCAACAAGCAACAUUUGUAAUCAUACCAAGGAGGCGAUAGCGGUAGAAUGCUCCCAGGUUUAAUCGGUACAGUUAAAAAGUAAUUAAUUGUGAUCUGUUGAUUUUUUUAAAAUUGUUCUCACUUUAUAUUAAAAUUAGCAAUGCGAUUUAAGUGUACAGUAGUAGUUAGGUUUUAGUUUUUUGAUUACUAAUUCAUUGUCCUAUGACUUAAAGAAUAUAUGUAAAUAAGCGUUGAUUAUAAAUUUUUUUUUUUACAUUUUUUAAAAUAUUGCAAUAAAUGUAUUAAUGAAAUAUAUAGGGCCUAAUUUACAUUUACUUAUCACAAUAAUAUGAUACAGGAUUUUAAAAACUCCUUGUGGAAUUUAAUAAUAAAUGCACAAUAAUAAAUAAUAACAGAAUUGUCGUUCAUUUCAUUUGAUGAUACAGUAAGUGAAUCUGUGUAUUAGUUCUUAAAACCUCUCUCAACUAUUAAUAGAUAGGCAUAUUACAGCGGCUCUGAGGUACGAGAACAGUUGCACAGUUAAAGAGGUUCCUCAGAAAAAAAAAUUGAUAUGUUGUACAACUGAUUUCUAGACACAAAAAGCCUAUUUAAAAACUGGGGGAAAAGGGGCGUAACCACCCUUUAAAAAAAAUUGUUGUUUUAACCACCCUUUUCCACCUUAGCUUCCACACUAUAAACUCGGUCCAAUGCUUGAUUGGUUGUCGAAAACCGUCUACGCGAUCAGUUUUUUUAGCCAAUAACAAUUCAUGUUCGGUUUUUGGCUAAUGACGGUGAAUCCCAUGACUCAUGGUUCAAACUACUACGGUAUACUGUACUUUACACAAUACAUUAUACUACUACUGCAGAGGCCACUACCAGGAAUACUACUACUACGGUACCCUGUAUAGACAGUUCAGUUCCGUAUUCGGUGUGUUGACAUCCAUGGAAUUUUAACAGGAAAACGUCCAAAAUUCGAUAGUUAGAGAAAGACAGAAACUACAGUAGAACCCCUAUCAAGGGGACACCCUCGGGACCAAAAAGUGUCCCAUAGGGGUGUCCCCUAAAUAUGGGUACCUCUGAAUAUACUAACCAAACACGGGAAAUUGGCCCCUUAAUAGGGGUUUUUGGCAUGUUUUCGAAAAGGGGCGUAACCACCCUUUUCCAACUCGUCCAAUGCUUGAUAAUGCUUUUUAGGCAAUAAGAAUUCAUGUUUGGGUUUUGGCUAUAAUGACGGCGAGCUCCAUGACUCAUGGUUAAAUAUAGGCUACUCACUUAUACUACUCUGAACAUGGAGGAAUUACAGUAGUGUAAACUUAAUUCCUCUAUGCACUAUAUAGGCUCCUACCAGGAAUACCUGUUCUCCGUUGGUACCUUAUGCCAACGUGAUAU